rnacentral:rRNA from 1 species
GAUGAACGCUGGCGGCGUGCCUAAUACAUGCAAGUCGAGCGAACAGACGAGGUGCUUGCUCCUCUGACGUUAGCGGCGGACGGGUGAGUAACAUGUGGAUAACCUACCUAUAAGACUGGGAUAACUUCGGGAAACCGGAGCUAAUACCGGAUAAUAUAUUGAACCUCAUGGUUCAAUAGUGAAAGACGGUUUUGCUGUCACUUAUAGAUGGAUCCGCGCCGGAUUAGCUAGUUGGUAAGGUAACGGCUUACCAAGGCAACGGUGCGUAGCCGACCUGAGAGGGUGAAUGGCCACACUGGAACUGAGACACGGUCCAGACACCUACGGGAGGCAGCGGUAGGGAAGCUUCCGCAAUGGGCGAAAGCCUGACGGAGCAACGCCGCGUGAGUGAUGAAGGUCUUCGGAUCGUAAAACUCUGUUAUUAGGGAAGAACAAAUGUGUAAGUAACUAUGCACGUCUUGACGGUACCUGAUCAGAAAGCCACGGCUAACUACGUG